rnacentral:rRNA from 1 species
GACGAACGCUGGCGGCGUGCUUAACACAUGCAAGUCGAACGGAAAGGCCCUGCUUUUGUGGGGUGCUCGAGUGGCGAACGGGUGAGUAACACGUGAGUAACCUGCCCUUGACUUUGGGAUAACUUCAGGAAACUGGGGCUAAUACCGGAUAGGAGCUCCUGCUGCAUGGUGGGGGUUGGAAAGUUUCGGCGGUUGGGGAUGGGCUCGCGGCUUAUCAGCUUGUUGGUGGGGUAGUGGCUUACCAAGGCUUUGACGGGUAGCCGGCCUGAGAGGGUGACCGGCCACAUUGGGACUGAGAUACGGCCCAGACUCCUACGGGAGGCAGCAGUGGGGAAUAUUGCACAAUGGGCGGAAGCCUGAUGCAGCAACGCCGCGUGCGGGAUGACGGCCUUCGGGUUGUAAACCGCUUUCGCCUGUGACGAAGCGUGAGUGACGGUAAUGGGUAAAGAAGCACCGGCUAACUACGUGC